AAGGUUUGCAAUAUAGAGAUGACAUGAUGCAAAACAGUUAAAAAUCCAAUCUUUACAAGAUAUCAAACACCAUAGUAAGAGAAACUUGCUACAGAACAUUUUGUUUGUAGGCUAUCAAAUUGAAAUUAGAGCAAAAUGCGAGUAUUACAUAAUUAUCAUGAAUCAAACAUAAGAUAACUAUCGUUGAUAACACGCUACUGACAAAAAUAAAAUGUCCUCUAAACCACCAGAACACAGCAAAAAAGGCCCUCCCAUCCUCGCUUAGCAACCACGGCGCAUCUAAAACGGAUGAAACAAAAACCAUGAAACCGUGAAUAAACCAUAUAUAUUAAGAAAAGCAAACGUGUAAAAAACGUGAAUUAAACCUUGUCAACCACGACACAUCCAUGUAAAUCGUGUAAAACAGGAGCAUGAUACAACAUUGCAUUUUUCCAUGCUAUUAAGUAUAUGGCGAACAGAGCAUCGAGCAAUAGCUACUGUUUCGACGACGGAACCAAGAACAGCAUCAAGUCAUAAUAAAAAAUAUUAGUUGAGUCCAAGAAUAGCAUCAGGUCAAGAACUUCAAAUACCUACAGUAAACAUUUGACUAGAAAACUGUAUGAAAGAAAACUAUAUGGAAAAUUCAGGAAGCUGGCAAGUUCAGUACAGUGCUAAACUAGCAUGUAUUAAGUAUACUACAUGUUCCUGUGACCCUGUGCCCAAAAGUCCAUCCAUACAGCUCAUAACAUCUUUAAAUUUAAACCGUUCAUGCACCUCACAUCAUUUUAACAAGAAAACAAGUCCUGAUCAAAUCAGGAUGGAUGGCUAAAUGUCCGCCAUUUGCACUGCAAAAAUUCAAGAUCAUAGCAAGAGGUUAGUAUUAAUGCUGCCUUUCUCAGGUGAAUGGCAAAAAGAAUCGGUCGAGUAUUUGCCUCGAAGAUAGGAGAGGGCUACUUACCAAAUCUUAGUUGAGGAUGUAACCUGAAAAAAUAAACUAACAAGGGGGACUCCACAAAAAUAAUCACUAUGACCUUUAUAAACCAGAGAACACAUACAGCCACAAUAUGAAGGAGCAUCACUCAAUAGCAGCAAGAGAAUCAUAUGAGAACUACAAUCUUAUUGUCAAACAGUUGACAUUUCCAUAGUAGUAUUGCAUCUUCAUGUCUUCUCAAACAAAAGCAAUACAGACCAACUUGGAAUAGGAUACAGAACAACAAGAAACAAAUUAUGUAAGAUCUUAUCUGUUAAUUGAUUAAGAUUCAGGCAAAGGAAAACUCGGAACAGGCAGGUCGGAUGAUACAUAAUCAUUCAGACUAGAAACAAACAUCCACCUAAUCAAUCGAGUGACUGAUGACGACUUGUACAAUACAAGGUAUAAAGAAUAUUUAUAAGCACGAUUCAUCCAGACAAACAUGUGCAACUGAACGCGCAUCUGACCCUAGUUAUAAACAGAAACAAAUGCAAAUAAAAAUGAAUAUACACCAAACUUGAGAUAAUAUAUAUUUUCUAAGCUUGGCAGAAUAUUGCCUAUACAAUAUCUACAGAGAGACAAUCACUUGCCCGGUCUGUUUGGAGUGUAACCUGUAUUGGCUUAAGCUGGGUAAUGAAUGACUGCUCACAUGAUAGCCUGCAAAUAGAGACAAAUUAGCAAAGCGACACUCAAACAAGGAAAAAACAAUUGAACAAAAGAAAAUAGUACUACAUUGCUAACAGUUUACUAAACAGUGAUCGGCAAACAUCUGUACAUUUGCUAGGUAGGACAUUGGUAGGUAAGACUUAAGAGCGACAUAAUUCAGUUGCAUAUGCCACUUCUGAUUUAUCCAAGAACACAAAUUCCAGCACAAAUCUUGCAGUAGGAUAACAUGGUCAGAGCACACACCAUCAUCUAACCACAGAGCACCGUCGGAG
rnacentral:lncRNA from 1 species